rnacentral:rRNA from 1 species
AGAGUUUGAUCCUGGCUCAGGACCAACGCUGGCUGCGUGCUUAACACAUGCAAGUCGAACGGAAAGGCCCCGCUCGCGGGGUACUCGAGUGGCGAACGGGUGAGUAACACGUGGGUGAUCUGCCCUGCACUUCGGGAUAAACCUGGGAAACUGGGUCUAAUACCGGAUAUGACCUCCCCUUAGUGUGGGGGGUGGAAAGAUUUAUCGGUGCAGGAUGAGCCCGCGGCCUAUCAGCUUGUUGGUGGGGUAAUGGCCUACCAAGGCGUCGACGGGUAGCCGGCCUGAGAGGGUGGACGGCCACAUUGGGACUGAGAUACGGCCCAGACUCCUACGGUUUGCAGCAGUGGGGAAUAUUGCACAAUGGGCGGAAGCCUGAUGCAGCGACGCCGCGUGGGGGAUGACGGCCUUCGGGUUGUAAACCUCUUUCGACAGGGACGAAGUGAAAAUGACGGUACCUGUAUAAGAAGCACCGGCUAACUACGUGCCAGCAGCCGCGGUAAUACGUAGGGUGCGAGCGUUGUCCGGAAUUACUGGGCGUAAAGAGCUCGUAGGUGGUUUGUCACGUCGUCUGUGAAAUUCCGGGGCUUAACCUCGGGCGUGCAGGCGAUACGGGCAAUACUUGAGUGCUGUAGGGGAGACUGGAAUUCCUGGUGUAGCGGUGAAAUGCGCAGAUAUCAGGAGGAACACCAAUGGCGAAGGCAGGUCUCUGGGCAGUUACUGACGCUGAGGAGCGAAAGCAUGGGUAGCGAACAGGAUUAGAUACCUGGUAGUCCAUGCCGUAAACGGUGGGCGCUAGGUGUAGGGGACUUCCACGUUCUCUGUGCCGUAGCUAACGCAUUAAGCGCCCCGCCUGGGGAGUACGGCCGCAAGGCUAAAACUCAAAGGAAUUGACGGGGGCCCGCACAAGCGGCGGAGCAUGUGGAUUAAUUCGAUGCAACGCGAAGAACCUUACCUGGGCUUGACAUACACCGGACCGGCGUAGAGAUACGUCUUCCCUUGUGGCCGGUGUACAGGUGGUGCAUGGUUGUCGUCAGCUCGUGUCGUGAGAUGUUAAAAUAAGUCCCGCAACGAGCGCAACCCUUGUCUUAUGUUGCCAGCACGUGAUGGUGGGGACUCAUGAGAGACUGCCGGGGUCAACUCGGAGGAAGGUGGGGAUGACGUCAAAUCAUCAUGCCCCUUAUGUCCAGGGCUUCACACAUGCUACAAUGGUCGGUACAGCAGGUCGCGAACUCGUGAGAGUAAGCCAAUCCUUCAAAGCCGGCCUCAGUUCGGAUUGGGGUCUGCAACUCGACCCCAUGAAGUCGGAGUCGCUAGUAAUCGCAGAUCAGCAACGCUGCGGUGAAUACGUUCCCGGACCUGCACAGACCGCCCGUCA